GACAGGCACAGGGCAUGCAUUUAUAUUCCCAGCUACUCAGAAGGCUGAGCCAUGAGGAUCCCUUGAGCCCAGGAGUUCUGGUGUGUGCCUUAUGAUAUCAGGUGUCUGCACUGAGUUCCGCAUCAAUCUGGUGACCUCCUGGGAAUGGGGAACCCCCUCAAGGGGUGAACUGGCCUAUGUCAGAAAUGAACCAGGUCAGAAGUUCUGUGCUGAUGCUGAUCCUUAGUGGGAUUGCACCUGUGGAUAGCCAUUGCACUCCAGCCUGGGCAACAUAAUGAGAUCCUGUCUCC
rnacentral:SRP_RNA from 1 species